UGGCAAUGAGGAUGACUUUUCUAUAAUGAUUUAAAGUGAUUGACUUAUACGCUAUUCUGAGCUGACU